UAGUCCACGCCGUAAACGAUGUCAACUAGUUGUUGGUCCCCUUGAGGGAUUAGUAACGCAGCUAACGCAUUAAGUUGACCGCCUGGGGAGUACGGUCGCAAGACUAAAACUCAAAGGAAUUGACGGGGGCCCGCACAAGCGGAGGAACAUGUGGUUUAAUUCGAUGAUACGCGAGGAACCUUACCUGGGCUUAAAUGUAGAUUGCAUGACGUGGAAACACGCUUCCCUUCGGGGCUAUCUACAAGGUGCUGCAUGGUUGUCGUCAGCUCGUGCCGUGAGGUGUCGGGUUAAGUCCCAUAACGAGCGCAACCCUUAUCGUUAGUUGCCAUCAGGUCAUGCUGGGGACUCUAGCGAUAAGGGUUAACUCGGAGGAAGGUGGGGAUGACGUCAAGUCUUCAUGCCCCUUAAGUCCAGGGGCUGUAAACAUGCUACAAUGGGCCAGUACAACGGGGCUGGCUACAACGCGAGUUGAAGCGAAUCCCCUUAAAGCUGGGUCUCAGUUCGGGAUCGAAGUCUGCAACUCGACUUC
rnacentral:rRNA from 1 species